UGUACCCGCGGCAAGACGGAAAGACCCCGUGAACCUUUACUAUAGCUUGACACUGAACAUUGAGCCUUGAUGUGUAGGAUAGGUGGGAGGCUUUGAAGUGUGGACGCCAGUCUGCAUGGAGCCGACCUUGAAAUACCACCCUUUAAUGUUUGAUGUUCUAACGUUGACCCGUAAUCCGGGUUGCGGACAGUGUCUGGUGGGUAGUUUGACUGGGGCGGUCUCCUCCUAAAGAGUAACGGAGGAGCACGAAGGUUGGCUAAUCCUGGUCGGACAUCAGGAGGUUAGUGCAAUGGCAUAAGCCAGCUUGACUGCGAGCGUGACGGCGCGAGCAGGUGCGAAAGCAGGUCAUAGUGAUCCGGUGGUUCUGAAUGGAAGGGCCAUCGCUCAACGGAUAAAAGGUACUCCGGGGAUAACAGGCUGAUACCGCCCAAGAGUUCAUAUCGACGGCGGUGUUUGGCACCUCGAUGUCGGCUCAUCACAUCCUGGGGCUGAAGUAGGUCCCAAGGGUAUGGCUGUUCGCCAUUUAAAGUGGUACGCGAGCUGGGUUUAGAACGUCGUGAGACAGUUCGGUCCCUAUCUGCCGUGGGCGCUGGAGAACUGAGGGGGGCUGCUCCUAGUACGAGAGGACCGGAGUGGACGCAUCACUGGUGUUCGGGUUGUCAUGCCAAUGGCACUGCCCGGUAGCUAAAUGCGGAAGAGAUAAGUGCUGAAAGCAUCUAAGCACGAAACUUGCCCCGAGAUGAGUUCUCCCUGACUCCUUGAGAGUCCUGAAGGAACGUUGAAGACGACGACGUUGAUAGGCCGGGUGUGUAAGCGCAGCGAUGCGUUGAGCUAACCGGUACUAAUGAACCGUGAGG
rnacentral:rRNA from 1 species